rnacentral:rRNA from 1 species
UACGGAGGGGGCUAGCGUUGUUCGGAAUUACUGGGCGUAAAGCGCGCGUAGGCGGACUGGAAAGUUGGGGGUGAAAUCCCGGGGCUCAACCUCGGAACUGCCUCCAAAACUAUCAGUCUGGAGUUCGAGAGAGGUGAGUGGAAUUCCGAGUGUAGAGGUGAAAUUCGUAGAUAUUCGGAGGAACACCAGUGGCGAAGGCGGCUCACUGGCUCGAUACUGACGCUGAGGUGCGAAAGCGUGGGGAG